rnacentral:lncRNA from 10 species
AAGCUUGGCCUUGAUCCUGAGGACACUGGAUCAUCUUGAGAACCCCACACUGAAGAGAGCUGCUCCUGUAGGACUUGAGUCCACAUCAGGACCACAGACACAGCCUGCAGUCUCAGAAUCCUGAUGCUGCCUUGUAAACAAGCCUGCUAGAGGGAUGUGAGAGAUACAUGGACAGAACACCUAUUUGAGCCAGUUCUCCCAGCCAGGGUCAUCUGAGACCAGCCAGU